GGGCGGGGCCCGGCGGGGCGGGGCCAUUGGAGAUCGCCGCCCUACUGAGGAGCUGAUUGCGAGAGUGUCCUCGCUGCGUUUUUCCUCCCCGGGCGGACGAGGAGGUUUCUGUCGCCAGAAACACCUGCGAAGAGGAGUCGGGGGUGUUGACUCGUGAUAGAGAGGAGGAAACUGAGGCCCCGGGGAGGUCCUGCGAGUGGGUAACUGAGGCUCAGAGAGCCCGCCUCACUUGUGCACAGCUGAGAAGCGGUCAAGGCAGAAUCGGAACCCAGAUGAUUAGGGCAGGUCUCCCAGGAGGUAACAUUGAAGCUGAGACCUCUGAGGAAUGAGAAGGAGUGGUCUGUUGGAAAUUCGAAGAGGUUUCUGGGCAUUUGGAACAGCAAGUGCAAAAAUCUUAAGGUGGAAAAAGUUAAAUGUGUUCCAGGAGCAGCAAGAAGAUCACUGUAGCUGGAGCAGACUGAAAGAUGAUGACCAGCAUCUGGAGAAGGCAAGGCCUCAAGAUGGAAGAUUCCUGGGUGGAGGAGAACUCGGCCCCAUCGACCUAAUCUUACACCUAGGACUGAUGUAUGAGAAAAAAAAAAUAAACCUACAUUAUUAUAUUGAGCUUUUA